GACUCAUAAUGGUCCAAACAGGUUCUAAUUGAGAUAACAAGACAAAUUUUAAAACACCUUAAUGGGACAUAUACAAACAAAAUAUUAAAAUAAAAUUUAGUUGUUUUUAAACAAAAGUUGAAUGACUCAUAAUGGUCCAAACAGGUUCUAAUUGAGAUAACAAGACAAAUUUUAAAACACCUUAAUGGGACAUAUACAAACAAAAUAUUAAAAUAAAAUUUAGUUGUUUUUAAACAAAAAGAAAAUUAAUUACAUAAACAUUUUUUUUAAAAACUUCACACAUUACAAACCAUUCAAGAACAGUUGCAUAAUUAUCCACAAUACAAAUCCAAAUAAAAGUUGUUGCAACAAUGACAGGUUGAGAACAAAGCUUUUGAAGAACCAACGGCCAAAAUCUUUCUUCAGGCCAAAACGCUCCUAAAUCCAAUUGCCUCAUAGAGUGGAUCCAACCUUCCAUUCCAUCAAGUCACUUCACGUUGUAACCUGCAGAGUGAAAAAACAGCUUAAAUAAAAAGCCCUUUCCAAAAGCGCUUAAAGAACUGAAAAAUAAUUAAUAAGUUAAUUAGUUUAACACUUUAUCCAGAAGACCAACAUGAAUACCCAAAAAGCAUUUCGAAAAUGGCUUAAAACAGUAACAAAUUUACAAAACAGAUCCCACAUAAUCUGGAAGGAAAGGCCAUAACUAAAAGGAGUUUUUUUAUAAGACUCAAAAAGUUCAUCAGUUGAGGGGAGAGGAGACAAAAGUUAACAGCAAGAGAAAGAGAGACGAGAGGACAAAGUUUUUCGAACCCAAAAAUCAAACAGAGAAAACAUUCUUACAAUCCCAGAGAUUAAUCAAAAAUAAUUUUUUUUAAGAACACCCAAACACAUAGUGUUCAAAACCAGCAAAUCGAAAGGAGAAAGAAGAGAAAAAAACCCAGUCGUCAUUCUGCACAAAUUUCGACCGAAAUCCAAAUCCCAAAACUCUGCAAAAUUCCAAGAAAACUUGUUCAAAAUUUCCUGAAUCAAAAUUUAUGAAACAAGUGAGCUCAAACCUUAACCGCAUUACUCGUCCGAGAAACCAAAUAUACGAAGAGUAGUAGAAAAACAAAGGGGAUAUAGCUUACCUCAUUAAAGAAUCGCUUGCGGAAGAAGGCCUUUGUUGGAAUUCGAAAGAUCUCGCCAACCCGGAGAUUUUCAGAACUUCUGAUUUGGUAAACCAUUUGCGUCUACCUUCUUCUAUGAGUUUCCUUUUUAUCAUCCAUUAGGCUUUGCUGCAACUUUUAUUCUUCUGUGUUGAACCGAAUCCAUGGCAUCUGAUUUUUUUUACGUGAUUUUUGCUUUGUGUGCGUUUGAGAUCUAUUCUUCGUUUGAGCUUGGUUUUUGCAUGUUGUUUUUGUUGUUAUGUGCCAUGAAAUCGUGAAAAGGAGAGAGAGAGUCGAUUCAUAAAACAGAGUUAAGAGAGAGGGAGAGAGUGAAGCGACGGAGAGAGAAAGUCAUGAGAGAGUGGAGGAUCGUUUGAUAAUGAGACUUGUUUUAGGUUUGACUAAUGGAAAGAGAGAGAAUUGUUUUUUUCCAGAAUCAGUGUGAAGAG
rnacentral:lncRNA from 1 species